UUUCAGCUUAAAAUUGUCGUACAAAAUGGUAAAACAGCACUGUUCUGAUUUGCAAGGAGAUAUAGUUGUUCAUAACUGUUGGUUGAAGACAUAAGAUCUGUUCUUGUAUAUUAUAUUAACGAAACUGCAUAGUUGAUCCUGAAGCUAAUAGUUAGCUACAAGUAUUGUCCAUAUGGUCAGCAUCCUAACAUCAUUAAAGAUCAGUAUAACUAUGCAUAUAAAGAAAUAAUUCUGGCCUCAAUUUCCGUAACUGCAAAGACAUUCCCUAGUUAAAUUAGUUAAAUAAUAAUAAGCUGCAUGUAAAAUUUGGUUGAAAAGAUUUCUCAAAAAAAAAAAAAAAG
rnacentral:misc_RNA from 1 species